AGUGAACGCUGGCGGUAGGCCUAACACAUGCAAGUCGAACGGCAGCACAGUAAGAGCUUGCUCUUACGGGUGGCGAGUGGCGGACGGGUGAGGAAUACAUCGGAAUCUACUUUUUCGUGGGGGAUAACGUAGGGAAACUUACGCUAAUACCGCAUACGACCUACGGGUGAAAGCAGGGGAUCUUCGGACCUUGCGCGAUUGAAUGAGCCGGUGUCGGAUUAGCUAGUUGGCGGGGUAAGGGCCCACCAAGGCGACGAUCCGUAGCUGGCAUGAGAGGACGACAGGGCACACGGGGAAUGAGACACGGACCAGACUGCGAGGGGGGGCAGCAGUGGGGGAUAUUGCACAAGGGGCGAAAGCAAGAUGCAGAGACGCCGAGGGAGGGAUGACGGCCUGCGGGUCGGAAAAAGCAGGCAGCAGGGAAGCAGCGAAAGUGACGGUACCUGCAGAAGAAGCAACGGCUAACUACGUG
rnacentral:rRNA from 1 species